UACGGGGGGGGUAAGCGUUGUUCGGAAUUACUGGGCGUAAAGGGCUCGUAGGCGGCCAACUAAGUCAGACGUGAAAUCCCUCAGCUUAACUGGGGAACUGCGUCUGAUACUGGAUGGCUUGGAUUCGGGAGAGGAGAGUGGAAUUCCCAGUGUAGAGGUGAAAUUCGUAGAUAUUGGGAAGAACACCGGUGGCGAAGGCGGCUCUCUGGACCGAGACUGACGCUGAGGCGCGAAAGCGUGGGGAGCAAACAGG
rnacentral:rRNA from 1 species